UUUUUUUUCAUGGUUUAUUGUCUAAAAAAAAUCUAAAAAUUAUUAGACGUCUGCUAACUUCAGUAUCAUAAAAAAAUAUGAUACUGGAGUUAGCAGACGUCUAAUAAUUU